rnacentral:tRNA from 1 species
UGUUCUGUGGCUUAGUAGGUUAAAGCGCUGGACAAGCGAUACGGACACGUGGGUUUCGAAUCCCAUUGAAACAA